rnacentral:rRNA from 1 species
UACGUAGGGGGCAAGCGUUGUCCGGAAUCAUUGGGCGUAAAGAGCGCGUAGGCGGCCCUGUAAGUCCGCUGUGAAAGUCAAGGGCUCAACCCUUGGAUGCCGGUGGAUACUGCAGGGCUAGAGUCCGGAAGAGGCGAGUGGAAUUCCUGGUGUAGCGGUGAAAUGCGCAGAGUAUCAGGAGGAACACCGAUGGCGAAGGCAGCUCGCUGGGACGGUACUGACGCUGAGGCGCGAAAGCGUGGGG